GACCCCCCUCACCCCACUCCACCUCGCAAUCUUCCUUUUUCUGAUAGGCUGGACCCAACUCUGGCGGCCAAUAGGAUGAACUCUUAGUUGAAACAAAGACAAAUGAUACAUAUUUAUUUUAGGAUUACUAUGCCAACAGGAAGGUAUUGAAAAUGUGGAGUUUCGUUUUUCUCUUGCAAGUAUGUCUGUGUGAGGAUAUGUCUAUGCGCGUGUGUGUGUUUGUGUGGAGGGUGUGUGUGUGUGUGUGUGUGUGUGUGUGUGUGUGUGUGUGUGUCUCUGAAGUGCCUCACUGUUCUUAUUCCCUGCAGAUGAUUGAUGUUGGGAUUAGGGAAGCAAAAAAGAAACAGUCCCUGCCCACUCCCACAGGGGAAGAGUGGAAAGAAGUGAGUUUGUGUGUGUGUGAGUGUGUGUGUGUGUGUGUGUGUGUGUGUGUGUGUGUGUGUGUGUGUGUGUGAAUUAGCUGUAGUGGCCGCUUGGAGCUCCGUAUGUGCUGGUCAGUCCACAUGUAUGAAGAUUGCCGGGGUAAGCAGGAGGCUUUGCUCAGUGUGUUCCACCAGGGGGCGCCAGCGCUACACCGCUCUGCUCCACCAGGGGGCGCCAGCGCUACACCGCUCUGCACCACCAGGGGGCGCCAGCGCUACACCGCUCUGUUCCACCAGGGGGCGCCAGCGCUACACCGCUCUGCUCCACCAGGGGGCGCCAGCGCUACACCACUCUGCACCACCAGGGGGCUCUGCUCCACCAGGGGGCGCCAGCGCUACACCGCUCUGCUCCACCAGGGGGCUCUGCUCCACCAGGGGGCCAGACCACUGCACUCCUCCACUCAGGAGGAACUCAGGGGGUGCAUCCAGUCGGACCGAAUCGGACUGGACCUUGGACCUCGGUUCUGACCCUGAGACGGACUCAGACAGCCGUGGCGCAUUGACUCCUCCAGGACGCUGCCCCCCUCUUCUCGCUGGCCCCACCCGUCUCCACCCUGACCCACUCUUCCGCCUCUCUGCUGAUGUCAUUUCCUGCCUUUAUCCUGCUGCCCUUGGAUCACUCAGCUCCCACAGGAAGACCUCUAGGGUCUCCUCGGGCCUCCCUCUUCCUCCUCCUCCUCUUCCUCUGCGUUUGCACAGCGCUGGGUGCUGCAGCUCGGUCUGGACUUCGCCUCUGGUUUGCUUUCCUGUUUAUGUUUUCGUUUGGUUAGUUUAGCUUUUAGUUUAGUUCCUGUUUAUGUUUUUGUUUGUCGUUGUUGCUUUGACCAGUUCGGGAGGAGGACGAGCUAAAGUGUCCCCUGCUGUGGUCACCACAUGUAGAGACUGUAUUUCACAUUGAGACUCCUGUGUCAGAUUGUACUUAUUUAUUUAUUUAUUUCUUCCUGACACAAAAUGUGUGUGUGUGUGUGUGUGUGUGGCAUGGGUGAAUCCCACGCACCAGCCAGUUACCUGAGGUAGCAGAGAAGUGGCGUCACACACAAUCCAGGUGUGUGAUGUGACGUGACUCGUGUCGCUGACAGGCUUCCUUCCUUCGGCUUCUCACCUGAUUGCUGAUUGCUGCUCUCAUCCUCUUGAUUGUUGUUCAGAAUAGUGAACUACUGAGAUUCCAUGUGUGUGUGUGUGUGUGUGUGUGUGUGUGUGUGUGUGUGUCGAUGUUCUGAUGUGCGCUGUGACUCUCCAGCCAUUCCCAUGUAGUCGUCAUGGUAACACUAAUGCAGCCUCAUGUUGAGGUGUUGCUAAGGUAGCACCACGCCCAUCCUGCUAUGGCUCCGCCCUCCGGAAGUCCACCAGGACGCGGCUACACCACAUGAAACAAUGCAUUCUGGGAAAGACUUUAGGGGCAACCAUUUAUUUAGAGAACGUUAUUCAGGGACAUGAGAGGGGGCAGGCUAGUGCCACUGUGGGUUUAGCUUGGGGCAGUUAGGAGACACUUUCUAAUGUAGUUCACAGGGCUAAUGACCACAUUAUUACAGAAUAAAUUAUUAAUAUUGUUAUUAUUAUUAUAAUCACUGUUCAUAAUUCUAAUUAUAGUUUUACUUGGGGUGCCAGGUUCCUUUGCCUAUCCCUGCAUGCAUGUAUAUGCCACACAGCCACACACGACCACACACUACCAUAGCCUCAGAAAGAUUUCCUGAUCUAUUAUGCAAAUAUGGUGUUCCAGUGUCUAACUAGCAGUGUCGUUGUUGUGUGAUAACAGCACCACGUGGUUAAGACUGAGAUUUACCCGCCUGUCGGCAGUGCACCAGACGCACGUUAUCUUUGAAAACGUUUCCCUGGUCACCAGGAAGUCAUGUGUUUCUGUUUUGAAAACGUUUCCCUGGUCACCAGGAAGUCAUGUGUUUCUGUUUUGAAAACGUUUCCCUGGUCACCAGGAAGUCAUGUGUUUCUAUUUUGAAAACGUUUCACUGGUCACCAGGAAGUCAUGUGUUUCUGUUUUUUUUUCUGUGGUGACCACUGCAGUGUAAGCCUUCCCCUGAGCAGGAUCUAGAAACAUAUACCUGACAGAGAUCCUGACAGACACACACACCUGAUCUGGAGUCAUACACCUGAGAGAGAUCUAAGCACACUCACACCUGAUCUGGAGUCAUACACCUGAAAGAGAUCUUAACACACACACCUGAUCUGGAGUCAUACACCUGAGAGAGAUCUAAGCACACACACCUGAUCUGGAGUCUUACACCUGAGAGAGAUCUUAACACACACACCUGAUCUGGAGUCAUACACCUGAGAGAGAUCUUAACACACACACCUGAGCUGGAUCUAGAGACAGACCUGAGAGAGAUCUAAGCACACACACCUGAUCUGGAGUCAUACACCUGAGAGAGAUCUAAACACACACCCCUGAUUUGGACACACACCCCUGAUCUAAACACACCCCCCUUAUCUAAACACACACCGCUGAUUUGGAGACACACGCACCACUGAUUUGGAGAGCCAGGCAGCGCCUGCCGGGAGGGAAGGUUUCCACUGCGGUGCGAGUGCGCCCCCUGGAGGCUGCAGUGACGGCAUGUAGCUUCUGUUCCCUGCGUGUGCUGAUCCCCUUUGGUUGGUCCACUCCACUGUUAUGCUGUGUUUUUUUGCCAAGCUGAACAUACCUGGCACGAGUGUGUGUGGGUGGAUGAGAGUAUGUGUGGGUGUUUGUUUGCAAGGGCAUGUGUGUGAGGAAAGUGCGUUAAUCGGUGUGUGUGUGUGUGUGUAUGUGUGUGUGUGUGUGUUUGGUUCAGCACGUGCAGGGUUUCCUUUGUGAGUGAGUGGGUGUAUACCUGCAUACCACAAGAUAUGCAAAAACAAUGCAAUAACAACUAUGACUGUAAACAGAAUCAUGAAGAAUUAUAGCUGUUAAAAGUAUUGUUCAAAGAGAAAAAGUAUCAGAGAUAAUAUAUUCAGAAGUAUUAGUAUCGUAAUUGUUAUACUUGAAUUCAGGUGCAUUCAGUAUUUAAAGUAUAUAUCAUUGUGCCAGGCCAUUUAGACGCCAUAUAUUUGCUCUUGUUAAAGACCACUAGUUAUUUCUAUUCCGUUGGGGUUAAUAGUUGUACAUUCUUGCAUGGGAUUCAUUUGAUCACGUCAGUUUUGAUGUUCUGUUGAUUUCUCUCUCUCUCUGCUUUUCUUUACUUCAUUUCUCCAGGCGAGGGAGGAAUGUGUACUGAGAUUGAGGAUAGUCGUUUUAUUUUUUUAAUACCAGUUGUAAAUAGUAAUUGAGAUAUGUAAGUAUUACAGCUGUUUGGCAGGUUGCUGGUGGUGUUGAAAUGAUUUUGCAUAUCUUGUGCACAUUUAGCUCUGAGAUGGCAGCACGCUUCUUUGAAACGUUUUAAAAAACGUUCUGACCAAUCAGAUAUUUUCUUUUCACAUUUUGACCAAUCAGAUAUUUUCUUUUCUCAUUUUGACCAAUCAGAUAUUUUCUUUUCACAUUUUGACCAAUCAGAUAUUUUCUUUUCUCAUUUUGACCAAUCAGAUAUUCGUAUUUCCCCUUCCGUUCCCUUUACACUCAGAGGGUUAUACUGAGCAUAUGAAGUUCUCAUUUAUUUUUUGAGAAAAAAAUAGAUUAACAGUUCUAUCAGAUUCACACCACACACACACACACACACACACAACACACACACACAUUCAAUCACGUGUCAUUGUUUUAUAACGUGUUGAUUCUUACUGUGUAGGUAUUUGUUGAGAGGGAGCAGGUUGCCAUUGAGCCACAUGUCCCCUGCUGUGUGAUUAGCCAGCAUCUGACCAGAUGAUCCGUCCCCUAUAGCGUUUUAUGCAGGCAUCUGCCUGGGCCUACUAUGAUCCGUCCCCUAUAGCGUUUUACGCAGGCAUCUGCCUGGGCCUACUAUGAUCCGUCCCCUAUAGCGUUUUACGCAGGCAUCCGCCUAGGCCUACUAAAGCCCUGCCACCACCACAGUGACAAUCUGGGAACGCAUCUGUUGGUUUGAGAUUCAGCACGGGAAGAGUGUAUUCUGUACGGGGACGCAUGUGGUUUCCUGUCUUGGGGAGGUUCUUGUGAGCGGUCCAGUCAGAGACCCAAAGGAUCACCUGCACGUCCCCAUGGAGACAGUCAACUAACUAGUGACUGCAUAUUUUUAUACCAUACACAUACACACACACACACACACACACACAUAUAUAUAUAUAUAUAUAUAUAUAUAUAUAUAUCCCUAUAUAAGUCUAGAGUGUAUACUGAAUGUCAGGGUAAGGUUGGUGUCUCUUUAGAAUGUGUAUAGUAUUUUGUACAGAUAGAAGUUGAAAUGUUAUCUGUCAUUCCAUAGGGCUCGUGAAGAAGGAUGGGUAGCCGGCUGCUGCUGGUCAGGCGAUUGGACAAAGAGGGACGAGGUGCAGGAGCUAUGAGGCGGAGAUGAAAAGCUUUUAUUUGUCCUGACCCAAAAAGGCUUUUUUUUUAAAAUGUUGAGAAAUGUCAGAACAGUGUUCCUGAGUGAAGGAGGCAUGUGGGUGGGCUCAGUGUAGGAUGGGGAGGGAGUUGCUACCAGUGAUGCUCAGGCAGGCUCCAUGUUUAAUACUUUGAUACCUUUUGCUGUUCUGUUGUACUGCACUUCCACACAUCAGAAUCUGCACCAAAAACAGACGAGAGGGGUGGGGUGGGGGGGAGGUGGGGUGCUGACGGUAGCCCUUUCUGGGUCCAUUUUGUCUUUAAUACGGAGAGGAACAGGAUGCCUAGUUGACCAAUGGAUGUUAGCCUUGUACAAGGUCUCAGUCAGUCCAGGAGGAUUGUGAUCCAUUUUGUCUUUACUUAUGAUCCAGGGUUGAGGAUUGUUGAGAAAUAGCCUACAUAUUUUAUGGAAAGUAUUUUAAAAGUAGAUUUUAUUUUUGUCCAGGUGGGCAUCACCUCCCUGUCUUGAAAACAAAGCUUUCUAGUGUUUCACUCACCAGUAUAACAAGAUGGCAAAGAUGGAGUUGUAUGAAUAAAUUACAUAUAUUUUAUAAUCAUAUUAUUAUAUAUGCAAAUAUAUAAAUAUAUAUUUACCAUAGAGGGAGAAACUUAUAUCUUUAAGAAUGAAAUAGUAGCAGGGCAGAUCGAUCUGACUUUGCCUUUUAAACCCCUGAAUGGUUGGUGUUGGAAAGAUGAUAUUUUAGCUACUUUAUGCCAACCUCAUUACUGCAUGCUGUGUUUAACUCCUUUUCAAGCGUUGACAUCUGAAGAUUUCCCUACUGUAGCCUAGUUUAAUUUAGCACAGCCUUCCAUAGCAUAGCCCAGGCCCCAGGUCAUGGUUUAAAUUAGCCUUGGUGAGCUUCACCUAGUUUAGCAUAGCCUUGCCUAGCUGAACCCAAACCCCAACCCACAGUUUAGGUUAGCCUUGGUUAGCUUUAUUCAUCUUACCAUAGCCUUGCCUAGCAUAACCCAGGCCCCGCUCAUAGUUUAAGUUAGCCUUGGUUAGCUUUUACUAGGUUAGCUUGUCUUAACCUAUUUUUGCUGCUUGUCUGGGUUUAUGAUCCUCUGUGGGUGUCCAUGUGCAUCUACAAGAGGAACUGUAGUGAUGCAGUUUUAGCAUAACAGAUGGGCAAUAGCCAGGUGUGGCUAUCUUAGCUGUGCUUUGCCCUUCCCUUUGACCUUUGAGACUUGAUUGACAGGAGCUGUUACUGCCACUGCGCUACCUGCCCACACACACACACACACACACACACAAAUGUUAAAGUGUAGCAUUGAGAGCCUUCUGUUAAUGACUGUUAAUUUACAAUGUUUAAAGAAUCAUAAUUACUGCAAUCAUUCCCAUAUUAUUAUUAUUAUUAUUAUUAUUAGGCAAGUUUCUAGAAAUGCAAUAAUGAACAUUUUCAGACUGCAUUGUUUGUGCACUUCUGCACAGACCAAACGUCAUAUGAAUCCCCUUGCAUCCCACACACUUACACACACACAUACACACACACACACACACUUACAUGCAUUCACAUACACAUUGCCCUUGAAAGGGUCCCAACACUAGUACCUCAGCAGUAACAUAGUGACCACUCUUAACAGCCAAAAGGACAUGAGUGAGGAAUAGUCUUUAUUAGCCUUUGACAUGAAUGAGGAAUAGUCUUUAUUAGCCUUUGACUUGAGGAGGAAUAGUCUUUAUUAGCCAUUGACAUGAGGAGGAAUAGUCUUUAUCAGCCUUUGAUGCCUGGGGGCUUGGUUCUCUGUGGAUGACCCAGGCUGGAUCAGUCAAGUUCAGAUCAAGAUGCUGUUGUUGUUUUUUCAUGCACUGGUUUGAAUAUCUGAGAAGGAGUUCUUUGGGCCUUAUUGAUUAGAGUCUUGUUGAUGGGCACUGGUUUGAGUUCUUUGGGCUCAUAGCAGCCUUGUUGUUGUUUGUCUUCUGUCUGGACUGUAAAUAGAUUAGCGCUCUCAACAUAACCCUGUCAGAUCAUCUUGUUGUUUUGACUGAAUAAUAUCAACAUGUAGUUUUUCACACAUAAACUUGAUACAGUACGUAGACAUAACUUAAUGCAGUCAAAGCGUCACGAUGACCUGCCUGGUUUAUGUUGAGUAUGCUAACGUGUUCCUGCAGUGUAGAGUUGUGCAAGUGAUGGAUGGAUUGGUGGAGUUGUACUCCGGAUCAUGGGCUGACCUAGUUCUGAGAAAGGGUUAGGCUUAGUUGCUCUCUUGCAACAUCAGUAGGGAAGAUGGUUCUGUUGGGACCAGCAGAAGAAAAGGUGGUUCCAUUGGUUCUGUUGUGCAUUAGCGGUAGGGAAGGUGAUUCCAUUGGUUCUGUUGGGCCUAGCAGUAGAGAAGGUGGUUCUGUUGGUUCUGGUGGUUCUAGCAGGAGGGAAGGUGGUUCUGUUGGGCCUAGCGGUUGGAAAGGCGGUUCCGUUGGUGGAUUAUGGCUGCUCUGUGUUGUAAGGCAGGUCAUGAGGUUUACCUCUGAUGAUUUGCGGAGCGAUGCACGUUUCCUUGUGAGCCCUAGCUCACUGUCACUGCAAUGCCAUAUUGAGACAACUUGCACACACUACACACUUCACACACACACUUCAGCACCCCACCAAUUAGUUUAGAAUGUACAUAGAGAUAUGAAGGGAGAAUCUAACAUAUUUUAGUUAGCCAUUCUCUCUUUUUUUUCCAAGGAGAAAUAUAACUUGCUGUGUGUCCUAUGAUCUGCCCACAGCCAGGGGGCAGUGUAGAGCCGCACGUCUGACAUGCACACACUGACGCUGAUUUAGGCUGUCGCUAUGGAAACCUACCCCUGUGAGAUUAACGCUGACGACUUGCUCAGUCACUGACCUGUUUCCACGGAGGUCCCUGCAGCACGGUGACCUCUCAACUCUGACCCCCGACCUCUGACCCGGUCGCACACUCCUCUCGUGGGCGCCUCUGCAUGAUGUGCGCUGGACUUUUCCAAACACGGUCUGGGGAUGUUUUGGGGGUUUCUUCUUUUGGUUUGUUUUCAUUCUUCCAUUAAGAUUUUAAAAAGGGAAAGAAAUGAUGAUGAAGGAAUCAAAGCAUCGAUCACUUUUCUACUCCUAUUUUCAAAAAAAAGUGAAAUGGAAAAAAAAAUGUAAAGACAAAGUUGAAUUUGUAAAUACGUUCUGUACAGGUUGGGUCUGUACGCGUAAGUCUGUCCUUGGUGGCAGAGUCUGUCUUGCUUAUAACGCACGCUACCAAUAAAUAAAAAAGGAAAAAACUCUUAUUUAGGCUGUAUGGUCCUUGAAAGCAAGUUUUAAACUUAAUCUAUGAUGUAUAUUCCUGUAACAUUGCAUUUUUAUCUGAGGAAUGAUGUUAUUAAAAAAUAUUGCAAAUAAAUUGAAUUUCCUAGA